rnacentral:rRNA from 1 species
AGUGAACGCUGGCGGUAGGCCUAACACAUGCAAGUCGAACGGCAGCACAGUAAGAGCUUGCUCUUACGGGUGGCGAGUGGCGGACGGGUGAGGAAUACAUCGGAAUCUACUUUUUCGUGGGGGAUAACGUAGGGAAACUUACGCUAAUACCGCAUACGACCUACGGGUGAAAGCAGGGGAUCUUCGGACCUUGCGCGAUUGAAUGAGCCGAUGUCGGAUUAGCUAGUUGGCGGGGUAAAGGCCCACCAAGGCGACGAUCCGUAGCUGGUCUGAGAGGAUGAUCAGCCACACUGGAAUUGAGACACGGUCCAGACUCCUACGGGAGGCAGCAGUGGGGAAUAUUGGACAAUGGGCACAAGCCUGAUCCAGCCAUACCGCGUGGGUGAAGAAGGCCUUCGGGUUGUAAAGCCCUUUUGUUGGGAAAGAAAAGCAGCAGGUUAAUACCCCGCUGUUCUGACGGUACCCAAAGAAUAAGCACCGGCUAACUUCGUG